AGAUACCCUGGUAGUCCACGCCGUAAACGAUGUCGAUUUGGAGGUUGUGCCCUUGAGGCGUGGCUUCCGGAGCUAACGCGUUAAAUCGACCGCCUGGGGAGUACGGCCGCAAGGUUAAAACUCAAAUGAAUUGACGGGGGCCCGCACAAGCGGGGGAGCAUGUGGUUUAAUUCGAUGCAACGCGAAGAACCUUACCUGGUCUUGACAUCCACAGAACUUUCCAGAGAUGGAUUGGUGCCUUCGGGAACUGUGAGACAGGUGCUGCAUGGCUGUCGUCAGCUCGUGUUGUGAAAUGUUGGGUUAAGUCCCGCAACGAGCGCAACCCUUAUCCUUUGUUGCCAGCGGUUCGGCCGGGAACUCAAAGGAGACUGCCAGUGAUAAACUGGAGGAAGGUGGGGAUGACGUCAAGUCAUCAUGGCCCUUACGACCAGGGCUACACACGUGCUACAAUGGCAUAUACAAAGAGAAGCGACCUCGCGAGAGCAAGCGGACCUCAUAAAGUAUGUCGUAGUCCGGAUUGGAGUCUGCAACUCGACUCCAUGAAGUCGGAAUCGCUAGUAAUCGUAGAUCAGAAUGCUACGGUGAAUACGUUCCCGGGCCUUGUACACACCGCCCGUCACACCAUGGGAGUGGGUUGCAAAAGAAGUAGGUAGCUUAACCUUCGGGAGGGCGCUUACCACUUUGUGAUUCAUGACUGG
rnacentral:rRNA from 1 species